CCCGCCCCCGCCAGCAAAUCCUCCUGAACCCAUUUUACAGAUGGGAAGACCGAGGCCGAGGGCCGGCGACCUGAGCGGAGUUCUCUGAUGCUCCACGGAGACCCAAGCCAGUGCUUUUCCAUACGGUAGACGGGGUCGUGGGCGCAUCGGGAACCAACCUCGGAUUCCCCACUCCGUUUCCCGCGCUGCUUCUGGAAACCCAUCUGUAGAAUGCAAGUCAGGGAGCACCCAGAGCGGACAAGCAGCCAACACCCACACCAAGGAGAAUGGGCUUAGAGUGCUAGUGUUUACAAAUUCCCGUGACUUUGUGGAGAUUUUAAGGCAUUUUCCAUUAUAGAAAAUUGAGAAAAUGCAGAAAAGUUCGACGAGGAAAACAAAAACCCCAAAUUCUGCCCCUCAAAGAGAUGAUCAUUUUAGUUUGUUUCCUUUCAGUAUUUGUUCCUACUUUGUGUAUUUGUUUUUAUAUUUAUACAUUUUCCUCUUUCCCCUGUAUAUGUAAUAUGGUAGCCAUUUUUUUUCACUUUAUGUUCUGUUGCAAGCACUUAUGUCAUUACAAAAUCCUUCGUUUCCCACAUUAAAUAUGUAACCUAAUAAAAAUUAACUGUAACUACG